UUUUUGGAGAGUUUGAUCUUGGCUCAGGACGAACGCUGGCGGCGUGCCUAAUACAUGCAAGUCGAGCGCGGGAAGCAGACAAACGCCCUUCGGGGCGUGCGCCUGUGGAACGAGCGGCGGACGGGUG
rnacentral:rRNA from 1 species